UACGUAGGGUGCGAGCGUUAAUCGGAAUUACUGGGUGUAAAGCGUGCGCAGGCGGUUUUGUAAGUCUGUCGUGAAAUCCCCGGGCUUAACCUGGGAAUGGCGAUGGAGACUGCAAGGCUAGAGUUUGGCAGAGGGGGGUAGAAUUCCACGUGUAGCAGUGAAAUGCGUAGAGAUGUGGAGGAACACCGAUGGCGAAGGCAGCCCCCUGGGUCAAAACUGACGCUCAUGCACGAAAGCGUGGGGAGCAAACAGG
rnacentral:rRNA from 1 species